GGUCAAGCUACAAAGGGCUCAUGGUGAUACCUU
rnacentral:rRNA from 1 species